AGAGUUUGAUCCUGGCUCAGGACGAACGCUGGCGGCGCGCCUAACACAUGCAAGUCGAACGGAGCUGAGAGGAGCUUGCUUUUCUCAGCUUAGUGGCGAACGGGUGAGUAACGCGUGAGUAACCUGCCCUGGAGUGGGGGACAACAGUUGGAAACGACUGCUAAUACCGCAUAAGCCCACGGCCCGGCAUCGGGCUGCGGGAAAAGGAUUUAUUCGCUUCAGGAUGGACUCGCGUCCAAUUAGCUAGUUGGUGAGGUAACGGCCCACCAAGGCGACGAUUGGUAGCCGGACUGAGAGGUUGAACGGCCACAUUGGGACUGAGACACGGCCCAGACUCCUACGGGAGGCAGCAGUGGGGGAUAUUGCACAAUGGGGGAAACCCUGAUGCAGCGACGCCGCGUGGAGGAAGAAGGUUUUCGGAUUGUAAACUCCUGUCGUUAGGGACGAUAAUGACGGUACCUAACAAGAAAGCACCGGCUAACUACGUGCCAGCAGCCGCGGUAAAACGUAGGGUGCAAGCGUUGUCCGGAAUUACUGGGUGUAAAGGGAGCGCAGGCGGACCGGCAAAGUUGGAAAGUGAAAACUAUGGGCUCAACCCAUAAAUUGCUUUCAAAACUGCUGGCCCUUGAGUAGUGCAGAGGUAGGUGGAAUUCCCGGUGUAGCGGUGGAAUGCGUAGAUAUCGGGAGGAACCCAGUGGCGAAGGCGACCUACUGGGCACCAACUGACGCUGAGGCUCGAAAGCAUGGGUAGCAAACAGGAUUAGAUACCCUGGUAGUCCAUGCCGUAAACGAUGAUUACUAGGUGUUGGAGGAUUGACCCCUUCAGUGCCGCAGUUAACACAAUAAGUAAUCCACCUGGGGAGUACGACCGCAAGGUUGAAACUCAAAGGAAUUGACGGGGGCCCGCACAAGCAGUGGAGUAUGUGGUUUAAUUCGAAGCAACGCGAAGAACCUUACCAGGUCUUGACAUCCGAUGCAUAGUGCAGAGAUGCAUGAAGUCCUUCGGGACAUCGAGACAGGUGGUGCAUGGUUGUCGUCAGCUCGUGUCGUGAGAUGUUGGGUUAAGUCCCGCAACGAGCGCAACCCUUAUUGCCAGUUACUACGCAAGAGGACUCUGGCGAGACUGCCGUUGACAAAACGGAGGAAGGUGGGGAUGACGUCAAAUCAUCAUGCCCUUUAUGACCUGGGCUACACACGUACUACAAUGGCGUUUAACAAAGAGAAGCAAGACCGCGAGGUGGAGCAAAACUCAAAAACAACGUCUCAGUUCAGAUUGCAGGCUGCAACUCGCCUGCAUGAAGUCGGAAUUGCUAGUAAUCGCGGAUCAGCAUGCCGCGGUGAAUACGUUCCCGGGCCUUGCACACACCGCCCGUC
rnacentral:rRNA from 1 species